rnacentral:rRNA from 1 species
AUUGAACGCUGGCGGCAGGCUUAACACAUGCAAGUCGAGCGGAGAUGAGGUGCUUGCACCUUAUCUUAGCGGCGGACGGGUGAGUAAUGCUUAGGAAUCUGCCAUUUAGUGGGGGACAACAUUCCGAAAGGAAUGCUAAUACCGCAUACGUCCUACGGGAGAAAGCAGGGGAUCUUCGGACCUUGCGCUAAAUGAUGAGCCUAAGUCGGAUUAGCUAGUUGGUGGGGUAAAGGCCUACCAAGGCGACGAUCUGUAGCGGGUCUGAGAGGAUGAUCCGCCACACUGGGACUGGAACACGGCCCAGACUCCUACGGGAGGCAGCAGUGGGGAAUAUUGGACAAUGGGCGGAAGCCUGAUCCAGCCAUGCCGCGUGUGUGAAGAAGGCCUUUUGGUUGUAAAGCACUUUAAGCGAGGAGGAGGCUACUAGUACUAAUACUACUGGAUAGUGGACGUUACUCGCAGAAUAAGCACCGGCUAACUCUGUGCCAGCCGCCGCCGUAAGAC